GACGAACGCUGGCGGCGUGCUUAACACAUGCAAGUCGAACGGAAAGGCCCUGCUUUUGUGGGGUGCUCGAGUGGCGAACGGGUGGGUAACACGUGAGUAACCUGCCCUUGACUUUGGGAUAACUUCAGGAAACUGGGGCUAAUACCGGAUAGGGGCUCCUGCUGCAUGGUGGGGGUUGGACAGUUUGGGCGGUUGGGGAUGGACGCGCGGCUUAUCAGCUUGUUGGUGGGGUAGUGGCUUACCAAGGCUUUGACGGGUAGCCGGCCUGAGAGGGUGACCGGCCACAUUGGGACUGAGAUACGGCCCAGACUCCUACGGGAGGCAGCAGUGGGGAAUAUUGCACAAUGGGCGGAAGCCUGAUGCAGCAACGCCGCGUGCGGGAUGACGGCCUUCGGGUUGUAAACCGCUUUCGCCUGUGACGAAGCGUGAGUGACGGUAAUGGGUAAAGAAGCACCGGCUAACUACGUGCCAGCCGCCGCCGUAA
rnacentral:rRNA from 1 species